rnacentral:tRNA from 1 species
GAGGAUAUAGCUCAAAUGGUAGAGUGCAUGCUUAGCAUGCACAAGGUCAUGGGUUCAAUCCCCAGUACCUCCA